rnacentral:tRNA from 1 species
UCUAAUGUGGCAGAUAAGUGCGUUGGAUUUAAGCUCCACACAUAAAGUUUUAGCAACCUUCAUUAGAA